CUAAAGGUUCUGAGUCAGUAUUACAAAUCAAGUCCAAUCAUACUUUUAGAAGGGGAAAAUAGUAAUAGCAGUUGCUGAACCGAAAUUA